ACGUGAUGUGGACUGAAAAUAAGUAGGGAAGCACGUGAGCUGACUGUCAAGAAAAGCCGCUAUUGUUUGCAGGAUACCCGUACCGUAAACCGACACAGGUGGAUGAGGAGAGAAUCCUAAGGCCGACGGGAGAAGCAUUGUUAAGGAACUCGGCAAAAUGACUCCGUACUUCGGGAGAAGGAGUGCCAGUAAGAUGGCCGCAGAGAAUUGGCCCAAGCAACUGUUUAGCAAAAACACAGGUCUAUGCAAAACCGAAAGGUGAGGUAUAUGGGCUGACGCCUGCCCGGUGCUGGAAGGUUAAGGGGAGAGGUUAGCGCAAGCGAAGCUUUGAACUUAAGCCCCAGUAAACGGCGGCCGUAACAAUAACGGUCCUAAGGUAGCGAAAUUCCUUGUCGGGUAAGUUCCGACCCGCACGAAAGGCGUAAUGAUUUGGGCACUGUCUCAACAAUGCACCCGGUGAAAUUGAAAUACCAGUGAAGAUGCUGGUUACCUGCGCCAGGACGGAAAGACCCCAUGGAGCUUUACUCCAGCUUGAUACUGGGAUUCGGUAUUGCAUGUACAGGAUAGGUGGGAGGCUAGGAAAUGGUAACGCCAGUUGCCAUGGAGCCAAUGUUGGGAUGCCACCCUUGCAGUACUGGGUUUCUAACCAGCAGCCGUGAUCCGGCUGGGGGACAAUGUCAGGAGGGGAGUUUGACUGGGGCGGUCGCCUCCGAAAGGGUAUCGGAGGCGCUCAAAGGUUCCCUCAGAAUGGUUGGAAGCCAUUCGAAGAGUGCAAAGGCAGAAGGGAGCUUGACUGCGACACCGACGGGUGGAGCAGGUACGAAAGUAGGACUUAGUGAUCCGGUGGUAUAAAGUGGGAUUGCCAUCGCUCAACGGAUAAAAGCUACCCUGGGGAUAACAGGCUUAUCACUCCCAAGAGUUCACAUCGACGGAGUGGUUUGGCACCUCGAUGUCGGCUCAUCGCAUCCUGGGGCUGAAGUAGGUCCCAAGGGUUGGGCUGUUCGCCCAUUAAAGCGGUACGCGAGCUGGGUUCAGAACGUCGUGAGACAGUUCGGUCCCUAUCCGGCGUGGGCGUAAGAUAUUUGAGAGGAGCUGUCCUUAGUACGAGAGGACCGGGAUGGACUGGCCGCUGGUGUAUCUGUUGUCUUACCAAAGGCAUAGCAGAGUAGCCAAGCCGGGAAGGGAUAAACGCUGAAGGCAUCUAAGCGUGAAGCCCCCCUCAAGAUGAGAUAUCUCAUAACGUCAAGUUAGUAAGACCCCUUGAAGACGACGAGGUAGAUAGGGCAGAGGUGGAAGUGUGGUAACACAUGGAGCUGACUGUUACUAAUAGGUCGAGGGCAUAACC
rnacentral:rRNA from 1 species